rnacentral:rRNA from 1 species
GACGAACGCUGGCGGCGUGCUUAACACAUGCAAGUCGAACGGAAAGGCCCUGCUUUCGUGGGGUGCCCGAGUGGCGAACGGGUGAGUAACACGUGAGUAACCUGCCCUUGAUUUUGGGAUAACUUCAGGAAACUGGGGCUAAUACCGGAUAGGAGCCCCUGCUGCAUGGUGGGGGUUGGAAAGUUUCGGCGGUUGGGGAUGGAUUCGCGGCUUAUCAGCUUGUUGGUGGGGUAGUGGCUUACCAAGGCUUUGACGGGUAGCCGGCCUGGGAGGGUGACCGGCGACAUUGGGACUGAGAUACGGCCCAGAGUCCUACGGGGGGCAGCAGUGGGGAAUAUUGCACAAUGGGCGGGAGCCUGAUGCAGCGGCGCCGCGUGCGGGAUGACGGCCUUCGGGGUGUAAACCGCUUUCGCCUGUGACGAAGCGUGAGUGACGGUAAUGGGUAAAGAAGCACCGGCUAACUACGUG